UUUGAUGUAGCUCAGUGGUACAGCAUCUGCCUGGCAAGCAUGAGGUCCUGGGUCCAAUCCCUGGUACUAAAA
rnacentral:tRNA from 1 species